rnacentral:rRNA from 1 species
GAUGAAUGCUGGCGGCGUGCCUAACACAUGCAAGUCGAGCGGCAGCGAGGGGUGCUUGCACCCUGUCGGCGAGCGGCGAACGGCUGAGUAACGCGUAGGAAUUUGCCCCAAAGUGAGGAAUAACUGCCCGAAAGGGUAGCUAAUGCCGCAUAUGGUCUUCGGAUUAAAGGAUUUAUCCGCUUCGGGAGAAGCCUGCGUUGGAUUAGGUUGUUGGUAGGGUAAUGGCCUACCAAGCCGACGAUCCAUAGCUGGUCUGAGAGGAUGAUCAGCCAGACUGGAACUGAGACACGGUCCAGACUCCUACGGGAGGCAGCAGUGAGGAAUCUUCCACAAUGGGCGAAAGCCUGAUGGAGCAACGCCGCGUGAAGGAUGAAGGCCUUCGGGUUGUAAACUUCUUUUAUGAGUGAAGAAUAUGACGGUAACUCAUGAAUAAGCACCGGCUAACUACGUG